rfam:Drosophila takahashii retrotransposon R2 reverse transcriptase gene, partial cds.
ACGUAGCUGAGCGCGUUUGAUAUAGUGAUAAAUGCCUGCUGCCUGGGCUCAACAUCAAAUGCAGGCAUAAACAUCGCAACUAGCAACAAGGAGGAUGGUUUUUAGUACGUAGGCAUUGCGGAACCCUCAACGUGAAGAAGUUCAGAUAGAGCAAUGAAUCGUGCAUGCUAGAGUCAUUGGUUCGACCUAGUAUCUUUCGAAGAUUUCCAUUCCUUCGCGAUC